GGAGGUGUGGCAGAGUGGUCGAUUGCACCGGUCUUGAAAACCGGCAAAGGGAAACCUUUCGUGAGUUCGAAUCUCACCGCCUCCGCCA
rnacentral:tRNA from 2 species